AAGAAUUUAAGUUAAUUUAAACUAUUGACCUUCAAAGUCAAAAAUAAUUUUAUUUUUAAUUCUUA
rnacentral:tRNA from 1 species